UGGAAUGUACUAACAGCAGCAAGUCCCAGUCCUGUUGUUUUAGGCAUCAAAGGUUCUGGCACGCCCUCAAUGGAAUCACGAUUAACUAUUUGUGCUGUACAGAAGCUGGUUUUGAGAGUGGAAGUGGAAGCACUGAAAAGCAAUGGAUUGCAAGCUCUGUAAACCAUCACAGGAAGAGAGGUUAGGAUUAAGCCUCACAGUCAGACCCAAUGAUCUCAUUGCUGCCAGCAUGAAUGCAAAAUACUUUGAGCGAAAACAAGGGGAUUGAUCUAAAAGGACACAGUGCUACCAGGAAGCUUAAGCUGCCUAAAGACUCCACAAUGUAAGCAGAGAUGAUGGAUAGGAAAGGAUGGAAAGUUACAGGAACUCUACUUCCUGGAACGUUUGGUUUCUCAGCCUCCUCUCUGCCUCCUCCUCCUCUUUGCCCAGGAGCCAUCACGGGGGCAGAUACAGCUCUGACAAUGAAGCCUGGCUGUGGCCCAGGAGGAGCAGAGGAUGCUGGAGAGGGUGGAGUCCAUCUGCCACCCCCUCAGCACAGCCUGGAGUUGCCAGCAGCUACAUGGAGUAGUGCAGGUGUGUCUCGGCGGAGCUGCAGAGAGCACCGUUGCUGGCGAUCGCGCGCUCAGAGCGCCAAGAGGCAUGAGGUGUCUGUCAAGUCUAGAGGCAGGGGCAGAACCAGAGCUGGAGAACUUCUACGAGAAGGCCCAAAGGCAGAGAGGACUAUAUUGGAAUAGCUGGAUAGGGAUCAACACUCAGCCGAGUGUGUGAGAGUCCUGCAUUCACCUUCCCUCGUUUCCCCAAGUGCAGCCUCACAACUAUAGCAGGAAGAAAGCAAGAGUGCAUGAACACAACUGCAGCAGCAGACAUGAAGAAUUCAGGUUGUACUGCCAGCAUGUACCAAAUUCCCUCUGUGAUUUCCUGGACCAAGAGGAUUGUGAGCUCCAGGAGUAAAGAUUUAAUGAGGAAAAGGCAACAAAUGUGGCUUAUCCAUGGGGUUUUAGUGGUGAUGUUGAAUCAAAACAACGCAUUUUUCCAUUGCCCAUUUACAAACUGAAUACUGAUUAAAUGUGAAGGCACUGGAAGAGUUAAAAAAAAAAGAGAAAAUGAGGCCUUGAAACUUUAUUUCAGAAAGGGAUUUAAGGAUGCUGUGUAUGUAGCUUCUACAAAGGAAACUUAGGAAAACUUGUUCCCCUUUAUUAUUACCUAUCAGAAGAAAAAAAUGCCUGAUGGCAGAGAGCAUUUUAGAUUAGAAAGUGAAGACAUCACAGAGUAUCACAUUAGACAAACUUAGUCUAAAAUUACAGCGUGGUUUAUUUUGAUUGAGUCAAAUCUCUGCAUCUUAAAAUCUUUAAAUCAACAUUAAUUUUCUACAAGGCAUGUUCAAGAUAUGAAGGAAAGAAAAAAAUAAUUAUACGUU